rnacentral:rRNA from 1 species
UACAGAGGGGGCAAGCGUUGUUCGGAAUUACUGGGCGUAAAGGGCGCGUAGGCGGCCUUCUAAGUCGAACGUGAAAUCCCUGGGCUUAACCCAGGAACUGCGUCCGAUACUGGAAGGCUUGAAUCCGGGAGAGGGAUGCGGAAUUCCAGGUGUAGCGGUGAAAUGCGUAGAUAUCUGGAGGAACACCGGUGGCGAAGGCGGCAUCCUGGACCGGUAUUGACGCUGAGGCGCGAAAGCCAGGGGAGCAAACGGGG